rnacentral:rRNA from 1 species
CUACGGGGCGCACCAGUGAGGAAUAUUGCACAAUGGGGGGAGCCCUGAUGCAGCAACGCCGCGUGGAGGAUGACGCAUUUCGGUGUGUAAACUCCUUUUAUAUGUCAAGAAAAUGACGGUAGCAUAUGAAUAAGCACCGGCUAACUCCGUGCCAGCAGCCGCGGUAAUACGGAGGGUGCAAGCGUUACUCGGAAUCACUGGGCGUAAAGGACGCGUAGGCGGGUUGGAAAGUCAGGUGUGAAAUCCUACAGCUUAACUGUAGAACUGCACUUGAAACUUCUAAUCUAGAGUAUGGGAGGGGGGGAUGGAAUUAGUGGUGUAGGGGUAAAAUCCGUAGAUAUCACUAGGAAUACCUAAAGCGAAGGCGAUCUCCUGGAACAUUACUGACGCUAAGGCGUGAAAGCGUGGGGAGCAAACAGGAUUAGAUACCCCAGUAGUC